AUUAAAAAUGUUUGUCAACAAAUGCCGUUAUUGAUUAUUUCAUUACUGUUGUGUUACAGCUUAGCGUGACGAUAAGAUAACAGCUGCGUGCAAAAUGGCGGCGAGUUCGGGGUCAACCGGCAGCAGGAAAAGAAAACACACUGUUGUCACGGAUGAGGGUGAAAAACGGCACAGAUGUCGCACUGGAUCUGUUCUGCUCUGACGCAAGAGUAUCAGGUUGUGCAAUCAGAUCGCUCGCGACUUCGAGAUGGAUUCAGUUAAAACGAAAGUAACAACCCAGCAUGAGUGAAUUGGUUUAAAGCAGAAAUCCUCCAUACAGUCAUCAACAUGCAGCUACUAUAAGCUUUAAAUUGUCAAAAUAAAAGAUAGUUAAAUUUAAUAAGUGUUUUCUUGCUAUGGUUCUCACCUUCCCCAGUGACCUCCUCUGAACCUCAGAAGCAUUUCCAUACCAGAAAAUCACACAAAAUGUCAGAAUGCUUUCAAUAAAAUAAAUAAAACAUCAAAAUGAUUUUGCUUAUGGACUUUAAAUGAAAGCGAUUUCUUUAAGAAGUAAGUCUGUGCAUCCCACCUAAGUUUAUGGUCCAGCAUUAUACCAAGGUAUUUGUAGUUUGUAACGAAUUGUAUUUAGAAAGGUUGUAAAUGUGAUCAAUAACCAUCUCCUUAGUUUUGGAGAUAUUUAAGAGGAGAUUUGAAAUUUCACACCAAUUUAAAAAGAAAUCCAAAACAUUCCCAUUUUCUUCCUUCUGAUCAUGUAAAAUCAUGUAAAACGCUAAUUCCUCUCCACUGCUUCUCUUUCU